CGACCGCUAUAGCAAUAUAGCCGAGGCCAGACGGACAGCCGGGUCGAAUGCCGA
rnacentral:sRNA from 12 species